rnacentral:rRNA from 1 species
AUUGAACGCUGGCGGCAGGCCUAACACAUGCAAGUCGAGCGGAGCGGCGGACGGGUGAGUGAUGCCUAGGAAUCUGCCUGGUAGUGGGGGAUAACGUCCGGAAACGGGCGCUAAUACCACAUACUUUCAGAUGAGCCUUGGUCGGAUUAGCUAGUUGGUGGGGUAAAGGCCUACCAAGGCGACGAUCCGUAGCUGGUCUGCGAGGAUGAUCAGUCACACUGGAACGGAGACGCGGUCCAGACUCCUACGGGAGGCAGCAGUGGGGAAUAUUGGGCAAUGGGCGAAAGCCUGAUGCAGCAAUGCCGCGUGUGUGAAGAAGGUCUUCGGAUUGUAAAGCACUUUAAGUUGGGAGGCGUUACCAACAGAAUAAGCACCGGCUAACUACGUGCCAGCAGCCGCGGUAAUAC